rnacentral:tRNA from 1 species
CGUUCUAUGGCCGAACUGGUGUAGGCAUCACCGCUUACAGGCCAAGAUACGGGUUCGAGUCCCGCUGGAAUGG